UCAGGGAUUCUAAUCUCAGCACGAAAGCUCUGAUACCAAUUGUUAAAAUUUAUUUAUAAUCAUGCCAAGAAUUUAGAAUCACCAUUUAAUAAAUUUAUAGAAGCGAAUUUAUACAUGCGAAAUCCAUUAUUGGUAUGAAUGAUAGUUGUAAUAGCAGCCAAGAUCUUCCCCUUCUUGCUCCUCACAAAAGUAUUAGCUAUCAAUGGGGCAAGCCAAUAAAACAUAUGGAGAGGAGAGGGGACCUAACCUUUAUAUAUAGGAAAUAAUCUUAGCCGUCCCAUUACGACUAGAAUUUUAAUUAGGGUUUAUUUCCGACCCACAUACUUUAAAUUACCACAUCAAAUUAAUUACAACCCGUAAGGUGUAAAAGGCCCAAUUGAUCACUUAAUAAAUUUGACCCAAACACAAUUAUCAUUAUGAGUCAUAUAUCUAACCCGUAAGAUUUUGCAAUCGAAUGUGAAGCCCACAUAUGGAAUUAUUAAUUAUUCCAACA
rnacentral:lncRNA from 1 species